rnacentral:rRNA from 1 species
UACGGGGGGAGCAAGCGUUGUUCGGAUUUACUGGGCGUAAAGGGCGCGUAGGCGGUAGCACAAGUCAGUUGUGAAAUCUCCGGGCUUAACUCGGAAAGGUCAACUGAUACUGUGCGACUAGAGUGCAGAAGGGGCAACUGGAAUUCUCGGUGUAGCGGUGAAAUGCGUAGAUAUCGAGAGGAACACCUGCGGCGAAGGCGGCUCACUGGACCGGAACUGACGCUGAGGCGCGAAAGCGUGGGGAGCAAACAGG